AAAGGCUUCGCAAGAAGUGUCAUCUUGGAGUUGGGUCAUCGUCGGACAUGAUUCUAUAGAUCUAGUUUCUUUCUGCUUAUGAUCAUUGAAAUAUUUUCGAUUGCAAUCCUUUUUAUUAAUAAAAUGAGAUUUUAGUACAUUGGAAUGUGUUAUCAUUAUGUUUGCAACUUAUGUCUUAAAGUUCCUUGGAAAAUAAAUAAUAACAUUCCCAUUUUCAUUUGCAUAUCAUGCAUCAUGUUUCAUCUUGGUCUUGCUUUGAGCAAGUCGGUCAGGGGUCUUAUAUCUU
rnacentral:lncRNA from 1 species